rnacentral:rRNA from 1 species
UACGAAGGGAGCUAGCGUUGUUCGGAAUCACUGGGCGUAAAGCGCACGUAGGCGGAUGUGUCAGUCAGGGGGUGAAAUCCCGGAGCUCAACUUCGGAACUGCCUUUGAUACAGCACGUCUUGAGUCCGGAAGAGGUGGGUGGAAUUCCUAGUGUAGAGGUGAAAUUCGUAGAUAUUAGGAAGAACACCGGUGGCGAAGGCGGCCCACUGGUCCGGGUACUGACGCUGAGGUGCGAAAGCGUGGGGAGCAAACAGG